CUCCUGCAGGGUAAAGUGGCCCAGACAGCCUGUAUGUCAGCGUGUAAGCACUUGUCCACGUCCCUGAUGCAGAUGCUGUUGGACAGCGAGCUGAAACAGAUCAGUAUGGGAGCCGUUUCAGCAGUUCAACCUGGACGUCAUACAGUGUGAAUUGUUCGCCAGCUCAGAGCCUGUCCCAGGAUUCCAGGGAGACACUUUACAGCUGGCAUUCAUCGACCUCCGACAGCUGCUGGACCUGUUCAUGGUGUGGGACUGGUCUACGUACCUGGCUGACUACGGACAGCCCACCUCCAAGUACCUUCGGGUCAACCCCUCCACUGCACUAGCACUUUUGGAAAAAAUGAAGGACACCAGUAAGAAGAACAACAUAUUUUCUCAGUUCAGGAAGAAUGACCGAGACAAACAGAAGCUGAUUGAGACGGUGGUGAAACAGCUGAGGAGCCUGGUCAAUGGGAUGUCUCAACACUCCUAGAACACACACACAGAUGGACACACAGACAGAGACACACAGACAGACACACACACACAGACAGACAGAGACACACAGACAGAGACACACACACAGACAGAGACACACACACACACACCAACCAGCCAUCACCUUUCAGUUUCACCAGAUUCAUAGUGUAAAUAAAGGAAGACAACACACACACACACACGAGACAUCAAGCUAAAACAGUUUCUCUGUCAGGAAUGAGAAAAAGAGUGAAACGUUUGCAAUGUAUUAUUUAAAGGCUCAGAAUACUAUGUUUUGUAUAUAGUGAGAGUGCAGUGGUUUGUGUCACCACGGUGAUGUAAGGAAUGGAAAGAUGGCAUCUCAGAUGAAGACUGGACAGGAAACUGAUGUUCACUGGGUGAAGUGGCCCAGAUAGGGGACUGAGCCAUGAAGUAUAGGCUCCAAUCCCCGAGCCCUAUGGACCCUCUCCACCCUGCUCUAAAGUAGUUCACUACAUAGGGAAUAGGGCCCUGGUCUAAAGUAGUGCACUAUAUAGGGAAUAGGGCCCUGCUCUAAAGUAGUGCACUACAUAGGGAAUAGGGCUCUGGUCUAAAGUAGUGCACUAUAUAGGGAAUAGGGCCCUGGUCUAAAGUAGUGCACUAUAUAGGGAAUAGGGCCCUGGUCUAAAGUAGUGCACUAUAUAGGGAAUAGGGCCCUGGUCUAAAGUAGUGCACUAUAUAGGGAAUAGGGCCCUGGUCUAAAGUAGUGCACUAUAUAGGGAAUAGGGCCCUGGUCUAAAGUAGUGCACUAUAUAGGGAAUAGGGCCCUGGUCUAAAGUGGUGCACUAUAUAGGGAAUAGGUCCCUGGUCUAAAGUAGUGCCCUAUAUAGGGAAUAGGUCCCUGGUCUAAAGUAGUGCCCUAUAUAGGGAAUAGAGUGUGAUUUGGGACACGUCCUGGUAGAUCUCUACAUCGCUCCAUAAUGCAGUACUGGGUGGAGUUAGUUUCUACUGUAAAUAUUUUGGAGAAUAUUUAACACUACAGAGAAUCACACUGGUUGGGUCACACAUGUCGUCCUAUUUCCACAGGGCUCUGGUCAAUGGAUGCACUCUCUCCCUGUCUCUGUCAUUCAGCUCUCUCCAUGUCUCUGUCAUUCAGCUCUCUCCCUGUCUCUGUCAUUCAGCUCUCUCCCUGUCUCUGUCAUUCAGCUCUCUCCCUGUCUCUGUCAUUCAGCUCUCUCCCUGUCUCUGUCAUUCAGCUCUCUCCCUGUCUCUGUCAUUCAGCUCUCUCCCUGUCUCUGUCAUUCAGCUCUCUCCCUGUCUCUGUCAUUCAGCUCUCUCCCUGUCUCUGUCAUUCAGCUCUCUCCCUGUCUCAGUCAUUCAGCUCUGUGCCUGUCUCUAUCAUUCAGCUCUGUGCCUGUCUCUGUCAUUCAGCUCUCUCCCUGUCUCUGUCAUUCAGCUCUCUCCCUGUCUCUCCCUGUCUCUGUCAUUCAGCUCUGUGCCUGUCUCUGUCAUUCAGCUCUCUCCCUGUCUCUGUCAUUCAGCUCUCUCCCUGUCUCUGUCAUUCAGCUCUCUCCCUGUCUCUGUCAUUCAGCUCUCUCCCUGUCUCUGUCAUUCAGCUCUCUCCCUGUCUCUGUCAUUCAGCUCUCUCCCUGUCUCU